GACGAACGCUGGCGGCGUGCCUAAUACAUGCAAGUCGAACGAACCGCGACUGAGUGCUUGCACUUGGUCAAGGUGAGUGGCGAACGGGUGAGUAACACGUGGGUAACCUACCUCAUAGUGGGGGAUAACAGUCGGAAACGACUGCUGAUACCGCAUAGGACAUAGGAUCACAUGAUCCAGUGAGGAAAGGUGGCGCAAGCUAUCGCUAAGAGAUGGACCCGCGGUGCAUUAGCUAGUUGGUAGGGUAAAGGCCUACCAAGGCGAUGAUGCAUAGCCGACCUGAGAGGGUGAUCGGCCACAUUGGGACUGAGACACGGCCCAAACUCCUACGGGAGGCAGCAGUAGGGAAUCUUCCGCAAUGGACGCAAGUCUGACGGAGCAACGCCGCGUGAGUGAAGAAGGUCUUCGGAUCGUAAAGCUCUGUUGUUAGAGAAGAACAGCGCAUAGAGUAACUGCUAUGCGUGUGACGGUAGCUAACCAGAAAGCCACGGCUAACUACGUG
rnacentral:rRNA from 1 species